UACGGAGGGCGCAAGCGUUGUUCGGAAUCAUUGGGCGUAAAGCGCGUGUAGGCGGCUUGGCAAGUCGGGUGUGAAAUCCCGGGGCUCAACCCCGGAACUGCAUUCGAUACUGCCUCGCUAGAGUCCCGGAGAGGAGGGCGGAAUUCCCGGUGUAGAGGUGAAAUUCGUAGAUAUCAGGAGGAACACCGGUGGCGAAGGCGGCUACCUGGACGACAACUGACGCUGAGACGCGAAAGCGUAGGGAGCAAACAGG
rnacentral:rRNA from 1 species